rnacentral:lncRNA from 1 species
UUGAUAGGUUGAACUAGAUUGACCAUAACUUUUUUCUCCGAUAGUCAAAUUGGAUGAAACCAAUUUCAUUAGAAAGAGGACUCGCAGAGAUUUCCGUUGAUAUAUAGUAGAUCACCCAGAUCAUUAUGUACAAGGAGUUAUGAUCAUUUGAAGUUGAUCCUGAAAUUCGCCUGGCUGCAGUAAUUUUAAUUUCCUGCAUGUUUUACUGUUCACAGUUCGAUCGGAAU